UCGAGUUUUUAACUCUUAAAACCAUUUGUGAACUUACCUUCUGGCUGCCUUUGGCAGGUCCUUCGGGAUUUGCCGGUAAGCACAAAACAAACUCUUUAUAUUUCUAGAGAAUUAUUCAUUGCUGAGUGGCAUUAACUAAAUAAGUUA
rnacentral:misc_RNA from 1 species